GCCAAAUUAAUUCUGAACCAUAGCACCAGGUUGAUGAAGGAGCUGUGAGCCAAGUGGAGGAGUCCAGCCCCACCCGAUGGUGAGAACAACAUGACGAACUUGAAUGCAUCACAGGCCAACCACCGUAACUUCAUUCUGACAGGUAUCCCAGGAACGCCAGACAAGAACCCAUGGUUGGCCUUUCCCCUGGGAUUUCUCUACACACUCACACUCCUGGGAAAUGGUACCAUCCUAGCUGUCAUCAAGGUGGAGCCAAGUCUCCAUGAGCCCACGUAUUACUUCCUUUCUAUCUUGGCUCUCACUGACGUUAGUCUCUCCAUGUCCACCUUGCCCUCCAUGCUCAGCAUCUACUGGUUUAAUGCCCCUCAGAUUGUUUUUGAUGCAUGCAUCAUGCAGAUGUUCUUCAUCCAUGUAUUUGGAAUAGUAGAAUCAGGAGUCCUAGUGUCCAUGGCCUUUGACAGAUUUGUGGCCAUCCGAAACCCAUUACACUAUGUUUCCAUCCUCACUCACGAUGUUAUUCGAAAGACUGGAAUAGCUGUCCUCACCCGGGCAGUCUGUGUGGUAUUCCCUGUGCCCUUCCUUAUAAAGUGCCUACCCUUCUGCCAUUCCAAUGUCUUGUCUCAUUCAUACUGUCUUCACCAAAACAUGAUGCGGCUAGCUUGUGCCAGCACCCGCAUCAACAGCCUCUACGGCCUCAUCGUCGUCAUCUUCACACUGGGGCUCGAUGUUCUCCUCACUCUACUGUCUUAUGUACUCACCCUGAAGACUGUGCUGGGCAUUGUCUCCAGAGGUGAAAGGCUGAAAACCCUCAGCACAUGCCUCUCUCACAUGUCUACCGUGCUCCUCUUCUAUGUUCCUUUUAUGGGUGCUGCCUCCAUGAUCCACAGAUUUUGGGAGCAUUUAUCACCAGUAGUGCACAUGGUCAUGGCUGAUAUAUACCUACUGCUCCCGCCUGUGCUAAACCCCAUUGUCUACAGUGUGAAGACCAAGCAAAUUUGAAGAAUGAUCUUUCAAGUGUUCCAGAGGCAAAAAAAAUAG
ensembl:lncRNA OR51H1 olfactory receptor family 51 subfamily H member 1